GGUCAGAUGGCCGAGUGGUUAUGGCGGCAGAUUUAAGUAACAAGUUUCAAAACUCUGCUAUCCGAAAGGAUGCGUGGGUUCAAUCCCCACUCUGAUCA